UACGUAGGGUGCGAGCGUUAAUCGGAAUUACUGGGCGUAAAGCGAGCGUAGUCGGUUAUCUAAGUCGGGUGUGAAAUCCCCGGGCUCAACCUGGGAAUUGCAUUCGAUACUGGAUAGCUAGAGUUCGGCAGAGGGAAGCGGAAUUUCCGGUGUAGCGGUGAAAUGCGUAGAUAUCGGAAGGAACAUCAGUGGCGAAAGCGGCUUCCUGGACCAGAACUGACGAUCAGGCUCGAAAGCGUGGGGAGCAAACAGGGA
rnacentral:rRNA from 1 species